GACGGGGCCCGCACAAGCGGUGGAGUAUGUGGUUUAAUUCGACGCAACGCGCAGAACCUUACCUAGACUUGACAUCCCGGGGAUUUUCUGGAAACAGAGAAGUGCUUUAGCAAUAAAGAACCCGGUGACAGGUGCUGCAUGGCUGUCGUCAGCUCGUGUCGUGAGAUGUUGGGUUAAGUCCCGCAACGAGCGCAACCCUCGCCUUUAGUUGCCAUCAUUCAGUUGGGCACUCUAGCGAGACUGCCGGUAAUAAACCGGAGGAAGUGGGGAUGACGUCAAAUCAUCAUGCCCCUUAUGACCUGGGCUACACACGUGCUACAAUGGUUGGUACAACGAGUUGCGAGUCGGUGACGGCGAGCUAAUCUCUUAAAGCCAAUCUCAGUUCGGAUUGUAGGCUGCAACUCGCCUACAUGAAGUCGGAAUCGCUAGUAAUCGCGGAUCAGCACGCCGCGGUGAAUACGUUCCCGGGCCUU
rnacentral:rRNA from 1 species